UACGUAGGGAGCAAGCGUUGUCCGGAAUCAUUGGGCGUAAAGCGCGCGUAGGUGGCCAUGUAAGUCCGCUGUGAAAGUCAAAGGCUCAACCUUUGAAAGCCGGUGGAUACUGCAUGGCUAGAGUACGGAAGAGGCGAGUGGAAUUCCUGGUGUAGCGGUGGAAUGCGCAGAUAUCAGGAGGAACACCGGUGGCGAAGGCGGUUCUCUGGGCAUGACCUGACGCUGAGGAGCGAAAGUGUAGGGAGCGAACAGG
rnacentral:rRNA from 1 species